GAUGAACGCUGGCGGCGUGCCUAAUACAUGCAAGUAGAACGCUGAAGGAAGGAGCUUGCUCUUUCCGGAUGAGUUGCGAACGGGUGAGUAACGCGUAGGUAACCUGCCUGGUAGCGGGGGAUAACUAUUGGAAACGAUAGCUAAUACCGCAUAACAGUAGAUGUUGCAUGAUAUCUACUUAAAAGGUGCAAUUGCACCACUACCAGAUGGACCUGCGUUGUAUUAGCUAGUUGGUGAGGUAACGGCUCACCAAGGCGACGAUACAUAGCCGACCUGAGAGGGUGAUCGGCCACACUGGGACUGAGACACGGCCCAGACUACUACGGGAGGCAGCAGUAGGGAAUCUUCGGCAAUGGACGGAAGUCUGACCGAGCAACGCCGCGUGAGUGAAGAAGGUUUUCGGAUCGUAAAGCUCUGUUGUAAGAGAAGAACGAGUGUGAGAGUGGAAAGUUCACACUGUGACGGUAUCUUACCAGAAAGGGACGGCUAACUACGUG
rnacentral:rRNA from 1 species